rnacentral:rRNA from 1 species
AUGGACGCGGAGGACGCGCUGGGGUUCCGGGAGGACGACGCCAUCCGCUUCAUCUUCGGCGAGGACGUCGCGUCCAGGGCCGACGACGACUCCGCCGCCGGUGCGAGUGCGUUCGACAGGUCGCUCAUGGAGCUCCGCGUCUUCCAGGAGGUCUUCUCCAGGGCGCCGGGGCAGAAGGGGGCCGCCGGGCUCGCGGGGAGGCCGCACUUCGGGGUGGCCGAGACCUCGCUGCUCCCCGGCGCCCACUUCGCCGCGCAGCGGCCCGCGGAUGCGCCCCGGGCCCAUGCGGGCCUCAGCCUCAAGGUCCAGCCGCCCCCGCCGUUCCGCGGCGAGCACAUUGUGUCCGCCCCGGUGCACGCCGGAGCGGGCCUUGGCACGGAGGCACAUGCGCAUGCUCCCCGGCAGCAGAGCAUUGUUACUACAACGGAGGGCAGAGUGGAUCUCGGUGCCAGCAAUGGAGGGCAUGCGCAUUGUUACAAUGAGCAACAACGCGGCACUGCUGUCCAGGAGCAUGCACAUUGUUACAACAAUGGCCAACACGGGACCGCUGCCCAGGAGGAGCAUGCACAUCGUCACGCCGAGCAGAAUGGGGGGAUCGAUGGGCUGGCUCUCGAGCUGGAUGCCGUGCUGCAGGGUUUCUUAGGGUACUGGCCAGGUGGAGGCAUGGCUGGGAGCUGUAACCAGCAGCAAGUGUUUGGUGCAGCUGCUGUCAGUAUCGGUAACACCGUUGACAUGCGCAUGCAAGCGAUGGCUGAAGACAACAACAUUGCUGCUGGGAUGUGUGAGGCAGUCAGGUUUGCUGGCAGCAGCAGCACAAGUGGGGUCGAUGAUCCCAUGCCGUCCUACAUGGACGCGCUGGCAGAGUUCUCACAGUUCCAGGCUGAUCCUUCUCUUGCCGACCCGUUUUUGUAUCAGUGGCUACAAGAUCAGCAGCCGUUCCCGAGCGAUGCCUCAUGCUUAAGUUAUGACCAAGGACAAAUCGUUGACAAUAGCCAAGCGCUGUACACAUGUAGCCCGGCAGAUUUAUCUGACAGAGGUGCCAUAGAAUACCCACACUUCAGCAAGCCAGCCUAUGAUGCCGCAGCGCCACCUCGCCUCUCCCAUGAUUAUAUUGGAUCUGGGCAGUUUCUUGAACUUGACCACCUUCCUGAGAAGGGUACGCCCGAAGCAAAUACUAGUUCACUAGAUGAUGUUGAUGUUCCUCAGUCCAGCAGUCUACAGUCUGUACCACCUGUUGCUUGUACCAAGAGGACUUUAGGCAGGGAUCUUCCUGAUCAGUUGGAAGCGCAUGCGCAAUGCCUUUUCAAGGAUGCUGGCUGGACCAUCAAGCCACGGAAAAGGAAUGACAGGGCUAAGAUGGCAUCCUAUUUCACAGCACCACACAGGGAAGUGGUCCUCAGCUCACUAACUCAGGCCUGGAAGUUUUGUGGGAACAAAUUAUAUGAAGCUUCUCCCGGUUCACAGAGGGGUAAGCAUCCGAUGGAGUGGUCAGACGUUGAUAAGUUUUGGAAGGACCUCACAGAUACUAUGGAGUAUAUCCAGAAGGUACUUGUGAAUCAACAAAGCGCACUCACACUUCUUGAACGGUGGGAGCUUUUGGAUCCUUUCGUUGCUGUCGUGUUCAUCGGUAGGAAAAUUACUGCUCUGCAACAGGGUAGUACUGUCAGAGCUGUUGAUAGUUCAAUCAUUGUUCUUGAUGACAACAAGAAUAUGCCCUCGGAAAGUAAAAGGAAACAGAAAGCCAGUGACCCUUUAACCGCCCGCAAGGUUCAGCCCACUCCUGUGAUCACGGGAUCUGAUUGUGGAGCACGAGCAAUUGAGAGCUGCAGCAGGAGCCAGGCUGUACCGAGCUGUCAUGAUUUGGAAGGUGUCCAGAACAGGGAUAUUAACCUGAAAAAUGGCUACACACAAGGUCAGAAUUGCGGGGCAAUUGACCGAAAUGAGAAUCACAUUAAUCAGAGCACUGAAACCCAGCAAUUUUACUCAGGAGCAGCGCUCAUCAAUAAUUCCGUGAAAAAAGCAAGGAAGAAGCCCAAAAUGACAUCGGAUGUUGAUGCAAAUGGAUUAGAUGGGUUGUACGCUCAAAUAUUUAUGCAGCACUCUAUGGGGAGUGUAUUUAACCAAGACAGCAACGUAGCGAUGCUUGAUUUUUCUAAUCCAGGAAUCAUUAACCUCCCUGGAAAACAUGGUAUUUAUUCUUCUGUUGGCACAGUGAAAAAGCAUUUGAAAGCUGAAUCCAGACCGUUAAAGCUAAAUGGAAACAGCCAAAGCGACAAACUUGGCAUGCUGUUGCCUCCAGAGAGCAAGCAAAUGAGCAUGCUAAAUCGUGAGGGUACUGUUAAAGAACCUUUGGAGCAUACAACCUCAGGACCUGGUUCUGAUGCAAGGGAGUCAGGUUCCAAUGAAACCGCCCCUAUAGAGUUGGUCCAGAAGAAGUUACCUUCAGAGAGCAACCAAAUGAUUGUGUUAAGAGGUGAGGGUACUGUUAAAGAACCUACGGAGCAUACAAUCUCUGAACCUUAUUCUAAUGCAAGGGAGUCAGGUUCCAAUGAAACUGUUCCUACAGAAAUGGUCCAGAAGAAGUUGCCUUCAGUGAGCAACCAGACGAGUAUGUUAAGAGGUGAAGGUAUUGUUAACGAACCUAUGGCGCAUACAAUCUCUGAACCUGAUUCUAGUGCAAGGGAGUCAGGUGCCAAUGAAACUGUUCCUAUAGAAAUGGUCCAGAAGAAGUUGCCUUCAGAGAGCAAGCAGAGUAUGUUAAGAGGUGAGGGCACUGCUAUGGAACAUAAACGCCUUAAAAGCUCUGAACCUGAUUCAAAUGCAAGGGAGUCAGGUGCCAGUGAGAUCGCCCCUGUAGAAAUGGUCUACCAGAAGUUGCCUUCAGGGAGCAAGAAGAGCAUGUUAAGAGGUGAGGGUACUGUUAAAGGACCUACAGAGCAUACAAUCUCAAAACCUGAUUCUAAUGCAAGGGAGUUGAGUGCCAAUGGGACUGUCCCUUCAGAAAUGGUCCACAAGAAGUUGCCGUCAUUGAAGGAAUCAUCUCCUAGAACUCCCCCCAAGGACCCCCCUAAGGUUUCAGUCGACAAUGCUGUUCCUGUUGAGUUAUCCCUUGAGUCUAAUGCUGCUCCCCUGAAAACUGAUUUAUCUCAUGACUCACAAAUCUGCAAGACGAUCGCUGCUAAAAGGAAACCUCAAGGUUGUGAUAAACAUAUCAAGAAAAGACCUCUUGAGUUGCGUAUCCACGACGAUGACCUUUUGAUCACAGCUAUUGUAAAAAACAGGGACGUCGACUCCUACAACAAAUUUGCUGCAAGCUCAGAUUUUUCGGUUGCAAAGUACAAAAAGCUUAAAGGCCAAAAGAGGGCUACCAAACUGCUUGGAAAAGGGGGGACAAACCUAUUGGGUGGGAAGAGAAUAAGUUUGGCACGGAAAACUGUGCUCUGCUGGUUGAUUGCAACUGGCUUUCUGACCGUAAAAGAUGUUAUCCAGUAUCGGAAUCUGAAGAGCAACGAAGUCAUGAAGGAUGGGAAGGUCACCUGGGAAGGCAUUCUUUGCAAAUGUUGCGCAAAAACCUUAUCUGUAUCAGACUUCAAGGCUCAUGCUGGUUGUUGUCUGCCCAAGUCCUCAUUAGGCCUCUUUCUGCAGUCUGGCAAGUCGUAUACUCUAUGCCAGUUGGAGGCUUGGUCUGCCGAAUUGAUGAGCAGGAGAAGUGAUGCAUGUGGUAGGAAAGUCGAGGCGAUGGAUGAAAAUGACGAUACAUGUGGUUUCUGUGGAGAUGGCGGUGAAUUACUUUGCUGUGACAAUUGCCCAUCAACAUAUCAUGAAGCUUGCUUGUCUGCCCAGGAGCUUCCAGAAGGCAGUUGGUACUGCCAUAAUUGCUCAUGCCGGAAAUGUGGGACUCCAGUUAGUGAAAAUGAGGUUCCGUCAUCCUCAGAUAUCUUGAAAUGUCUGCAGUGUGGAGAUGCAUACCAUGACACGUGCAUUAAUCAUGAGAUGCUGCCCUGUGAUGAUAAAAGAUCUAACACAUGGUUUUGUGGGAGAUACUGUAAGGAGAUAUUCCUUGGACUGCAUAGUCAUGUUGGUAUAGAGAAUAUUAUUGACAAUGGGCUUUCAUGGACCCUAUUGAAGUGCUGCAGUGAUGGUCGGAAGCUACAUUCUGCCCGGAAGAUAGCCCAUAUGACGGAAUGUAAUACAAAAUUGGCAGUGGCUCUUACUUUACUGGAGGAAUGUUUCAUUCGUAUGGUUGAUCCUCGAACUGGUGUAGACAUGAUACCACAUGUGUUGUACAAUAAGGGAUCAAACUUUGCGCGCUUAGAUUAUCAGGGAUUCUACACUGUAAUCCUGGAGAAAGGUGAUGAGAUUCUGUGUGUAGCAUCUAUCAGGUUACAUGGGACCAAAGCAGCCGAACUGCCUUUCAUUGCUACUUGUCUGGAUUAUCGCCGUAAAGGGAUGUGCCGAAGGCUGCUGGAUAUCAUUGAAAAGAUGCUGAGAUCGUUCCACGUUGAGAUGUUGGUCCUUUCUGCCAUCCCAGAGCUGGUUAAUACAUGGGUCUCGGGAUUUGGUUUCAAACCUAUCAAGGAUGAUGAGAGGAAACAACUUCGUAACGUUAAUUUGAUGUUAUUUCCCGGGACAUCCCUGCUAACCAAAAGAUUGGAUGGAAAUAUAACUACAAAACCAGAAAAGGAAGAAGACACAUAUAAUGUUUCUGGAUUAACUAAUGGGAAAUGUUUGCCUAAUGGGAAAGCAAAUGAGCAUCUUGAACUCCGUGACCUUGAACUGCCAGAGGAGUUGAAUAAUGAGGUUACAAUGAAUGGUUCUUUGAGAACACUAAAACGUGAAUUUAGUCCUGCAGCAUGGUUCAAUUCCACUAAGCUACAAGCACAUCUAUACUUUUAUUUUGUCCUCAUAUUUUGUUGA